rnacentral:rRNA from 1 species
AAAUGAAUUGACGGGGGCCCGCACAAGCGGCGGAGCAUGUGGAUUAAUUCGAUGCAACGCGAAGAACCUUACCUGGGUUUGACAUACACCAGACGCCGGCAGAGAUGUCGGUUCCCUUGUGGUUGGUGUACAGGUGGUGCAUGGCUGUCGUCAGCUCGUGUCGUGAGAUGUUGGGUUAAGUCCCGCAACGAGCGCAACCCUUGUCCUGUAUUGCCAGCGGGUUAUGCCGGGGACUUGCAGGAGACUGCCGGGGUCAACUCGGAGGAAGGUGGGGAUGACGUCAAGUCAUCAUGCCCCUUAUGUCCAGGGCUUCACACAUGCUACAAUGGCGCGUACAGAGGGCUGCGAGACCGUGAGGUGGAGCGAAUCCCUUAAAGCGCGUCUCAGUUCGGAUUGGGGUCUGCAACUCGACCCCAUGAAGUCGGAGUCGCUAGUAAUCGCAGAUCAGCAACGCUGCGGUGAAUACGUUCCCGGGCCUUGUACACACCGCCCGU